UGCAAAUACAGCAAACAACACAGGGCGAAAGUUCUACUCGUGUCAGUCACAGGAAUGCAACUUCUUUGUAUGGGAGGAUAGCCUCAGCAAUGGCAGUGGAGGAAGAAGUGUCCCGCGAGCAAACACGCGGGCCCCAGCUUCUAAUUCCAGCAGGAACGGUGGCCACGGGAGAGGCGGCCGAGGCACAACUCGGGCCCCUGCUUCUAAUUCCAGCAGGAACGGUGGCCACGGGAGAGGCGGCCGAGGCACAACUCGGGGGGCUGGUGCGACUUUUGUGUCAGCAACAGGUGAUCCAGCUUCUGGCAGGUGCUUUGUUUGCGGCGAUCCAUCACACUUUGCGAAUGUCUGCCCCCAAUUAGGGAUGUAAAUGGGGCGGAUCAGGACGGGUUUUUGGCGCCCUGCCCCGGUAUAUGGGGCAAAAAGUCAGGUUGUAGAGACUGAUGCGGUGAAUGUGGUGCACGCAGUUAGUUAGCCAAAUCUGCGAUCAUCCGACUCAAAUGUGAUUGGUGAUAUCCUUCAUCAAAUUUCUCUAGUUUCUUCUUGUGGUUCUGUUAGUUAAAUUCUUCUUGUAAUUAAUCUUCUUUGUACUAUGUAUCUUCAAUUGACGAGC